GUCUUUUUGGUUAAUAAUUUAAAGUCUAAUCUGCCCACUGAUAAUAUAUUAAAGGGCUGCAGUAUUUUGACUGUACAAAGGUAGCAUAAUCAUUAGUCUCUUAAUUGGUGACUUGUAUGAAAGAUUUAAUGAGAUAUAUACUGUCUCUUUUUAAUUUAUAAAAUUUAAUUUUUUAGUAAAAAAGCUAAAAUAUAUUUAAAAGACGAGAAGACCCUAUAGAGUUUUAUAUUUAAUUAAAUUAAAAUUUUUUAUAAGAUUUAAAAUUUUAUUUUAAUUAAAUAUUUUGUUGGGGUGACAAAAAAAUUAAAAAAACUUUUUUUAUAAAUUUACAUUAAUAAAUGAAUAAAUGAUCCGUAAUUUACGAUUAAAAGAAAAAAUUACCUUAGGGAUAACAGCGUAAUUUUUUUUUUUAGUUCAAAUAAGAAGAAAAGUUUGCGACCUCGAUGUUGGAUUAAGAUAAAAUUUAAAUGCAAAAGUUUAAAAUUUUUGAUCUGUUCGAUCAUUAAAAUCUUACA
rnacentral:rRNA from 1 species